GCCUUUGUGGGCCCAAGACUCAAGGAAGAUUAGAAGUGAGGAAAGUAAACUAUUCACGCAAGCUUUGCGGGUUAUGAAUAACAAGAGUCCUUUUAUUUGUAAUACCACUGUUGAGAAGUAUUGGAAAUCUUCCCAUAUGUUCUAUGUUAAACUCAAAGCAUCAGACACUUGGGUUCGGAGGAGCAGUUUGCAUGGAUGGGCUUAUCAAAGGAAUUGUUUGGCAAAUUAAGGAUGGCAAUCGCUAAUUCCUUCAGAAUAGACAAACUGUUCUUAACUUUGGAGUUCAACUUGAUGAAGCUCUCAAGAGCAUGUUUUGUCCUUACAAAAGAGAGUGGAUUAUGAAUUGCUCGUCUAUGGGUGGUAAUCAUUCUAUCUAUCAAACAAUUGGGUCCCAGGGAUUUUCCAUGUUAGGAGGUGAAGAUAAAAUAAUCUGGAAAUUCAAUCCUUGAGGAGAAUGUUCAGUAAGCUCAUGCUAUAAACUUAAUACUAUUCUUCAGGCAAGCAAGCUGAUCCGGCACAAACAUUAUGCGAAGUUAAAAUUGUGGACUCUUCAUGGUUGCAUAGGUUUGAGAGGGAGGAAAAUCUGGAGGGGCAAGUGGGCUAGUCCUCGGGUUUCUCAUAGGAAAGCUUGGAGCAUGGUUCAUCUUGCGUUGUUAAAGGGAACAGUAGGCUUUGGUAUCUGGUUCCUGAUGGUGGAUGUAGGUGGAAGAUACUUGGCGCAGUUUUGCAACUCUCUUCAAUGGAUUAGGGAGACACCAGCUACAGCUUCCAAGUUUAAUGUUCAGCAAGGAAGAAACAUCCAUUACGUAUCCGAGCCAAAUAAAAUGAUUUAUAAUUAUACUUGAAAAAACUCAUAUUUAUUUAUAUAACUUUGACACAGGUCUGGCGGGCAUAUCAACAUUUAGAAUUUAUCCACAACUUUUCUAUUCCC
rnacentral:lncRNA from 1 species